rnacentral:snRNA from 1 species
UGUCCUCCAUAGGAGGUCUAUAUUGAGCAGAUUCUCUUUGGUAUUGGGUGGUGGAACCGGAGCGUGCUCCAUCCACUCCAUGCAUUGACCUGGUAUUGCAGUGCUUCCAGGACCAGUGC